rnacentral:rRNA from 1 species
AAUGAACGCUGGCGGCAGGCCUAACACAUGCAAGUCGAACGAGUGGCGGAUGGGUGAGUAAUGUCUGGGCAACUGCCUGAUGGAGGGGGUUAACCACUGGAAACGGUAGAUAAUACUGCAUACCAUCGUAUGUGCCCUGAUGUGAUUGGCUGGUAGUUGGGGUAAAGGCACACCUAGGCUACGAUCCCUACCUGGUCUUAGAGGAUGACCAGCCACCCUGGAACGCAAACACGGUACAGAUACCUACGGUAGGAAGAAGUGGGGAAUAUUGCACAAUGGGCGCAAGCCUGAUGCAGCCGUGCCGAGUGUAUGAGGAAGGCCUUCGGGUUUGAAAGUACUUUCGGAGGAGAGGCGUUACCCGCAGAGGAAGAACCGGCUAACUCCGUGCCAGCAGCCGCGGUAAUUC